AUGGAGAGUUUGAUCCUGGCUCAGGACGAACGCUGGCGGCGUGCCUAACACAUGCAAGUCGAGCGGGAUCCAUCCAGUAGCAAUACUGGUGAAGAUCUAGCGGCGAACGGGUGAGUAACACGUGAGAAACCUGCCCCGGACUCUGGGAUAACACGAGGAAACCCGUGCUAAUACCGGAUACCUUCUUUUGACCGCAUGGUCAGAUGAAGAAAGAUUUAUCGGUUUGGGAGGGUCUCGCGGCCUAUCAGCUAGUUGGCGGGGUAAUGGCCCACCAAGGCAUCGACGGGUAGCUGGUCUGAGAGGACGAUCAGCCACACUGGGACUGAGACACGGCCCAGACUCCUACGGGAGGCAGCAGUGGGGAAUCUUGCGCAAUGGGCGAAAGCCUGACGCAGCAACGCCGCGUGCGGGAUGAAGGCCUUCGGGUUGUAAAC
rnacentral:rRNA from 1 species